ensembl:snRNA U6 U6 spliceosomal RNA
AUGUUCAUUUCAGUAGCACAUAUGCUAAAAUUGGAACAUUUCAGAGAAGAUAAAAUUACAUGGCCCUUUGCAAGGAUGACAUGCAAAUUUGUGAAGCAUUCCAUAUUUCU